rnacentral:rRNA from 1 species
AAUCAACGCUGGCGGCGUGCCUCAGACAUGCAAGUCGAACGAUUAAGACUUCCUUCGGGAAGUGCAUAAAGUGGCGCACGGGUGAGUAACACGUAAGUAAUCUACCCUCGAGUGGGGAAUAACAGUCGGAAACGACUGCUAAUACCGCAUAAUGCAGCGGCACCGUAAGGUGACAGUUGUUAAAGGAGCAAUCCGCUUGAGGAGGAGCUUGCGGCAGAUUAGCUAGUUGGUAAGGUAACGGCUUACCAAGGCUACGAUCUGUAUCCGGUCUAGGAGGACGGUCGGACACACUGACCCUGAAUAACGGUUCUGACUCCUACGGGAGGCAGCAGUCGGGAAUUUUGGGCAAUGGGCGAAAGCCUGACCCAGCAACGCCGCGUGAAGGAUGAAGUAUUUCGGUAUGUAAACUUCGAAAGAAUAGGAAGAAUAAAUGACGGUACUAUUUAUAAGCUCCGGCUAACUACGUGCCAGCCGCCGCGGUAAGAC